rnacentral:lncRNA from 1 species
AGCCGCGUCCACAUGGCUUCAGGUGUUCACAUGGCAGUAAACGGGCCCCUGCUCUCCUGGGCGCCCCAGCGCGGCGCCCUCCCGCCCACAUCCCGGCCCAGCCCCGCUGGCCUCGCCUCCAGCCCGUAGCCAAGAGGCGAGCGCGGCCGGUGCCCCCGGGGCUGCCAGGGGCCCCGAAGCAGGCGGCGCUGACUCCCGGACGCCGCCCGCUCACACCCGCCGCCUUUGCACCCAAGGCCUCGCGCGACCAGCAGGUCACUGAUUCUACUACCAUCUGUCAGCGUGGAUUGAUUGAGGAGACUGGCCCUGCUCGGCAGAUCAGUGACUUGUGCGAAGGUCCCACAGAAACUUCUGCUCUCCAGGUUUGCCCCUCCACUCUGCCCUCCAGGAUAGAAGUGUGGCAUCCUAAUCUGGGAUGCAUCCAUCUCUCCCCCUGGACUGUGAGCAUAUGCAGGGCAGAGACACCUCUGCUUCUCUUGGGUCUCCGGCAUCCUGUGCAGGAUGGGGCCACUGAGGUGCAAAGAGUUUAACUUAUCCCAAGUCACACAGUUUGGAAGAGGCUGAGCUGGUAUUUGAACCCAGGUUUUCAGAGGCUGCACUCUUAACCACCAAGCUUCCCAGCACUCAGCAAACACUGGAAAGACAGAGAUGGACCUAGACAGUCAGUAGGACCAAAAGUCUGCAGGCCGAUAGGGAAAGAAUGUAAGAGGACGGCAUGGGCAGCGCCAGCCCCUCCAGCAGUCAUAUAUUAAGCCCUGGACACUGGGCAGCUCGGGCAGGUCGGGGGGCCUCAGACUCUCGGACCCCAUGCCUGGAAGACCACGGUCUGCCCAACAAGCAGCAGCUGCUGUGAAUCGACUUACACAUCUUCCCCACAGGUGAGCAGAGAGCUAACACCUGAGGAUAGGCCAAGAAACGGGAAGCCCGUGCAACCUGAGCGCACAGAUCACCCCCACCUGCCCGGCACUCACUGUCCCCAGUGGCUGGACUCUCAUCGGGCCAGUCACUGAGCUGGCGCCAGCCUGGUCUCACCAGUGUGUGUCUUUAAAUCAUCCAAUUUCUUCAGCUGUAAAUUGGGCUGGGAGGGGCCAGGUGAGCUGCCUGCCUCAGGGGAGUCGGCGCCCUUACCUGAGUGAUCCCAUUCACUCCUCACAACAAACCCAUGAGGCAGGGAUUGUCAUCUUCAUUGUACAGAGCAGGAAAUGGGUGCACACAGAGGUUAAGAGACUUGCCCAGGUCACACAGCUAGGAAGAGGCUGUGAUUUGAACUCAGUCUUCUGGCUCCAAAGCCCCCACAGAGUCACUCAGGGCACUACAAAGAGUUAACCUGAAUAUGAAAUGAUCUAAGAGUCGCAGUGACAAAGGCAUGCUCUAAGCGCUUUUCCUGCAGUAACUUGCUUAAUCCUUACAACAACCCUAUAAAGUGGGUACUGUUCUCGCCUCAUUUUGCAGAUGAGGAAACUGAGGCACAGAGCAGCUCGGAGGGGGCAGAGCUGAAUCUGACAGGCUACAGGGCCCCUGCGUUGCUUUGUUAUAAGAUGACAAUAAGGAAGUUCCUUUCCUUUGGGAUUAUUUCUGCCUGAAAGCUCAAGACUUUUAGCCACAUCAUUGUCUGGGCUCCACGGGAAGGCAGUGCCACAUGCUGAGGCAUGCUGGGAAAAGACUUUGUUCCAUCCUGUUUUGUUGACAUGCUCUUCAUUUUUAAGCCUGAAACCGAAGCUUCCUGCUAAGAAUUCAAACCAUGGAGAAAAACGCAGCCAUGAUAACGGCCACUACUUCCUGAGCCUCCAGUGUUCCCUGUGCUUGGGGAUCCAUAUAUGUCACUUAACCUUAACCUUCACAACACCAGGGCAGCCUCCAUUUUCACAAGUGAAGAAAUGGAGGCCCAGAGUCACUUAGAAGAUGCUCGAAGGUGCACAGCUGCUAAGUGGUGGUGCUGGGAUUUGUCCUCAGGUCCUCAAGAGUCCUGACUCUUAUGUGCUGGCUCCCCACGGAGGCGUGGAGUCUUGUUUGCUGGGCAUUUGACAGAAAUGUUUCUGCUCAUCUUCUGCCACAGGUUGGUCCUUCAGCGUCAAGAUUCCUGGGCCACUUAUUAAUAGAAGGCACCAGGACACAGGUGCAGGGAUGCAGAGCUGGAUGCUGCCUUCUCAAUAGGAGAAGCCAAGAAACGCAGAUGCCGAUGCUUAAUCAACUCCGUCUCUCCCUCUAGUGACUCGGGGAUAGCUGCCCUGAUGCCAAGGCGAUUGUCUUCUGGAAGCAGCCACGCCGUGUGAGGUUCCUCAUCACUGCCCUGCAUCUCCCUGCGAGCUCUCGGGGAUAAUUGCAAAAUCACGUUUGAUUCCAGGGGAGCAGAAAGCAGCAGGAGCCGUGAAUUCUCCAACUCUUAACUGGUCCUCGACUGGAGCCACUUUUCCCUGCCCACCCAUCCCUGUGGCGGAUUCAUUACAGUUAUCCAAAGCCGGUUUUAACUUUGCUCCCCCUGGCUCAGAAGUCUGUCAGUGGGUCCUGAGCGGCUUCACCAUUCAAGUUUAUUCCUAUCAGCCUGGAAUACAAUGCUCUAUCUGGCUCCGCUUGCUUCUCCAAACCUUCUCUCCCAGGUCUCAUUCUGCCUCUCUGUCUAACUAGACAAGUUGGCUUCCUGUCCUGUGCCUGUCUGCUCCCUGCAGCAGGAAUGCCGUUCCCUCUUCCCUACAGAUUGAAAUUAUAUCCUCUUUCAAGUCUUACUCAAAUGCCACCUCCUCCACAAACUCUUAACACUUAUUCAUUCAUUCAACAAACAUUGACUGAGCCCUUAUGACAAGCAUUGAUCCCAAGGGUCCCUGUGGUCAUGAAGUUUAUGGUGCCAUGGAGCUGUUAGAAAAAGAAUCAUCACAUAAAUAAUCAUCUGAUAACAGCCAUGAUACAAAUUAGUAAGAAAGUGUGGCAGGAGCACAGCAGAUGUACAAUAGGGACCCUGAGCCUUGGGGAUCUAGGACAUUUGAGCUGAGGCCUGAAAGACAAGUAGGAAGUAACCACAUGGUGAAGUUGGAGGAGAGCUCCAGGCAGAGGGCACGGCAUGGGCAAAGGCCCUGCGGUAGGAGGGAACAAGUAGAUUUCCAGGAAGGGCACAGGGGCCUGCAGGGUAAUGUAAGUGAAAUGAGAAAGCUGGAGAUGCAGCUGGAGCAGGACAGUACAGGCCACAGAGGCUUUGCGACUUUAUCCCUGGGCAAAAAGAGGAGAUGAUGAAGGAUUCUGAGCACAGGACACAAGCCAGUAUGUAUUUAGACGCGAUCCUGCCCUGUGGCUGAGCCUCUUCUGAGAAGUGCAGGCCCUGUGUCACGUCACCCUGAACCUCAGUCAUCAGGGUUUUGGAUGUGAGUUUCCAUAUCCCUCUUCCUAGGCCAAGCUCUCAAAGGCAAGGCUGACCUCUGGUCUUCAGCUUCAUCCUCAUCAGCCAGGCCAGUGCCCAGCACAAGGAGCUGCUCCAAAAACAUACGUGGGUUGAACCAGUGACCAGGACAAGACGCUUAUCAGCAUUUCCCUGCGAAGGAGCAGGGCUGCCUGUAAAGCCUUCCACAUUCUCUAGAAAUUACAAAGUUCAAGGGUUUUAGUGAGGCCACGACUCAGGGAGCCCUUGAGAGCCAAGCUGGCAUCCCACUGCUGUGCACACCCAGCCUGGGCACACAGUAUGACCCUGCCCAGGCAUCUGCCUGCGGCCGUCUGGUGAAUGACCAGAAACAGAACCGAAAGCUCUGUAAAGUGCUCUCAAGGUUACAAAGCAUGUUUCACAGGAGCAGUUUCAUCUCACACGGGCAGCCCUCUGAGCUGGGUAGUUACUGCUUUACAGAUGAGGAAACUGAGGCCCGGGAGAGGGCGGGACCUCAGCAAAUCAAGAAAAAACUGAGACUAGGACCUAACGGAAGUCCAGGCUAUGAAUGGCCCCCGUAGGGUUAAAAGAGCUUUCUAGAAAUUUCUUUGAAAACUAUUGUAAAGUGACAUAUUUCCUCAGGAUGUCUGUCACGCCAGCAGUGGGAGCCAACACACCAACUCUCAGAGGCUGUUCCCCCUGCGCGGCAGAUCCAGACGCUCAGCUCCCAGGCCUGGAGGCUGGCGGCUUAGCCCAGGGCACAGGAGGAGGCUGCCUGGGUUUGGCGCUGACUUACAGCAGGUGCUGAGGGAAUGCUGAGGAGAGGCAAGGCUGAUUCAAGAGGCCGACAACAGAGAACAUUCCUAGAGCUCUCCCGCCAGCUAGGCAUGGUGCUAAGUGCAUUACCUGCGUCCACUCGUAACAUCCUCACAACACUGUGAAUACGAUGACCAUCCCCAUGUACAGGCGUGGACGCUAAGGCUCAGAGCAAUAAAUAAUUAGCCUGAGAUCACACGGCAGCCUCCUCCCCUAGGGCUCUCUAGGCUUCCUUUACCCGUCCUGCCUCAGAUGGACUCCCAGCAUCAUCAUCUGCCUCUGUGCCUUCUUGGUAGUAGGUGGGUGUGAAAAAGAAAGGAAGGGCCAGGUGCAGUGGCUCAUACCUGUAGUCCCAGCACUUUGGGAGGCUGAGGCGGGCGGAUCACCUGAGGUCAGGAGUUCGAAACCAGCCUGGCCAACAUGGUGAAACCCUAUCUCUGGUGGCAGGUGCCUGUAAUCCCAGCUACUUGGAAGGCUGAGGCUGGAGAAUCACUUGAACCUGGGAGGCAGAGGUUGCAGUGAGCAGAGAUUGCGCCACUGCACUCCAGUCUGGGCAACAGAGCGACUCCCUCUCAAUAAAUAAAAUAAAAUAAGGAAGGACAGAGGGCAAUGUGACCUUCGGCAAGCUCCCUAAGCUCCUGAAGCCUCAGCCUUUUCACCCGUAGAACAGGGACAUUAACAUCACCCCCGAGUGAGGGCUGCAGGCACACAGUGACUGCGCUUCUCAGUGCCACAAGUGCUGUUGCCAUCAUUCCAGCCUCAGGUGCUCCGUGAGGUGGGACGAUUCACCCCAUGAGCAAACAGGCUCAGGGAGGUGUGGUGCCUACAGUCACCCAGCAGACACAGCGGAGCAAGGAGGAAGCCACACCUGUUGGAUCCCAAAGCUUCUGCUGAGGGGAGGAGGGAGAGUGAAUGAGCCACUGGGGGCCUCCGUGGCAAUCGGGCUCACAAAGCCAUGUGUGGGCUGGAUGUGGCUCCCCAGCCCCGUAGACACCACCCCAGGUGCUCCUCACAGGUGAUGGGGUGUGUUGUCUAUGGGGCUCUUGUGCCCUCUGGGGGCCUCUGGGGAGCUGCUACUGGGCUGGGCCCUCUCGGUCCCUGAGCCUAGACCAGGUGAGUUACUAGCAGGGACAGGAGGAGAAAUGGGAAAGCUAGGCAAGAGGUCACUCAUCUGUGGGCUGAGUGCAGAAUGGGAGGGAAGAAAGCAUCCUUUCUGGAAAAAUCAAUGGGCAGAUGAUACCGCCCAAGUCACUACCUACAUGGAAACCUUCCAAGAAAACCAAAGCAACAAGAGAAUCACAGCCCCUUAGAGCAGUGGCGGGCCUGAGAGGUGAACAGACCCAAGUCCGCCUCACACAGCUAGGGAAAUCGAAGUCCAGGAUGGUGGUCACAACUCGCUCAAGGCCCCACGGUGUGUAGGUGACUCCGCCACGUAUGAGGGGCGUCCAGCCCCAGGCAGCUCAUUUACAGUGGUGGGUGGGCCUUUGUGGUCUCCAUGCCUCACACUCCAGCCAUCCACUUCCCUCUGUUCUUGCCUUUGCUAAGCAAGGGGACUGGUUUAGCUUCACCCAGAAACUACCAAAUCUCUGGGGCUUUUCCCUGCACACUUUUAGUUUCUAGGCUGCCCUGGCCCCUGCUCUGCCCCUACAUGUGGCUCAGGGUGGGGAGAGACUAUUAAGCUAAUACAUAGUUAGGCAACUAGAACACAGCCUGCAAAUCUCGCAGUCAGUGCUCCUCAGUCUUGGCUAUUAUUACCAGACACGAUGACCAUCUCCAUUUUACAACUAGGGAAACUGAGGCUCAGAUGGAUUGAGUGAUUAGACCCCAGACACUAGGUGCUAGAGCCUUUGCUCUCUGGAGUUAUCUUUUUUUAAGCUAACAAUUAUUCAGUGCCCCCUGGGAGCCAGGCUCUGGCUGACUGCUUUGUGAGAAUGAUCUCAUGUAAUCCUCACCUCAGCCCUGUGAUGUAGGUAUUAUUAUUACCCAAGAACACAAAGACUCACAGAGGGCAGGUAACUUCCUUGAAGCCACACAGCUAGGAAAUGGGAGAGCCAGGAUUGAACCCAGGCAGUCUGGCCUCAGGACGUUGGCCACCCCUCUGUGCUGCCAUCUCCGUUGGGGAUAGGUCUGGGGGACUAGCCACCCCAGUCUCCCACAGGAGCCUCCAGUCAUCUCGGGGUCCCAGGCUGGAGGAGCUGCUCCUGAACCCUUCACCCCUUGAUCGGCAUCCAAACUGCUUCCCGCCAAUUUGGUUCCAGCUCAGAAUGUGGCCUGGGCUGGUCCUGAGACUCCAAAUUAAAAGAAGACCCAAGCUGGUCUUUAAAUUCAAAUCUGAGGCCAUCUGGGAAUCCCAGCACAAGGCAGCCUGAGAGAGGCUGGCUUGGGAGCAGCUAGAACAAGCCAGCUUUGCAAGAUCCUGAAAACGGGUCCAAAGAAGGCGAGUUUGCAAUGACUGCGGUGUCCAUGUGGCACCGCCCAGUCUGUCAUCAGGUCAGGUUCUCCCUUCCUCCACAAGUGGCUCCCCCAGCCAGUGAAACAAGGGCCCCACUUCCACUGUCGCCGCCUCUCCCCACUCUUCCCUUCCAACGGCUUCAGCCACAGAGUGCAACCCGCCUCUUACACCUUGGAUGCGCUGUUCUUGCACUUCCCUCUGAUGGUACACCCUCUCCUGCCUUAGCACGGCAAACUCCUACUCACUCUUCAAGGCCUUCAAAUGCCACCUCCUCUGUGAAGCCUCUCUUGAUUUCCCUGUCAGACCUCACAGGGGUACUCAGGGAAAAGAUUUCUGUGGGGAAAAAACCCCUUGGGGUGAGUUUGCCCAAAGGAAGUGAGCCCAUCACACCGUCUAGGACAUGGGGAGAGGGCAGCUGUUCCAUCCUGGUGGUCCCACUUCCUGGGGGGUCUGAGUCUGGGUGUGUUCCUCUGAGCUCUAGGAACAGGGCUCCUCUAUGCCCAGCUCUGGGCAGGUGCCAGGAGUGCAGAGGGGAGGCCUUAAGUGUCCCUGUAACCAAGGAUGGUCACCCAGGCUCUGCACCCAAAGGCCUAACAGGGAGACAGACCCACGUCUGUGUGGUCAGGACUGUGAGAGGGCAAAGAAGGUGGGCCAGGCACAGGACCCAAGUCCACCUGAGAGAAGGACAGGGAAGGCUUCCUGGAGGAAGUGAAUUGAGACCAGAAGACUUGACCAGAAAAGAGGAGGUGGUGACGUCAGGUUAGGGACCAGCUCCAGGGGAAGGGAGACUGGAAGGAGAGCCACAGCCUUCCCCUGACCUUCUGCCUGUAGAUGGUUCCUGCCCUGGCUUCUCAGCUUAGAACUCACAGUCUCUGCUAGGGCCUGAGCUACGGCCUGGCCCUGGUAAAACUCACUCCACCAUGCCCUCUCUGGAGGCCUGCUGUAAACACACUGACCACCUGCGCCCAUGUCACUGCACCUGCCUGAGCCCUGUGGCAGCCCAGAGACUUGUACCAUGGCCGCUUCCUGGCCCAGGGCAGGCUCAAGCUCCCUUGCCCUCAUGGGCCCGUCAGAGGAGUCAAGGUCCAGGAGGCUGUGCUAACAGCCCCUGGCUGCAGAGCUGUUUGCCAACCUCCAGGCCAGCCAGGCCAGCACUGUAGCCGGGGGAGCGCCCAGCCCUGGCCUUCGUUCUGCAAAGCCCCAUCCCAGCCUCGGUCCCAGGUUCUCGGUCUCUGGUCACGCUUGGGAAGCAGCUGCGGGCAGAAGUAGCCUUCAGAGACCUCAGGCUGCCCAGGCUAAGAGAAUGAUGGAACGGUGACCCUGGCUGGGGGCAGAGACCUGGGAGGGAGGCCGGAGAGCUGGGACAGCGCCUGGGGGUUGGGAGAGCUGCCCAGGCCUCCUCCGGGGUGAGCUGAGGAGGGGCUGCCAUGCCUGGGAGGAGGGGGCCGGCUCCUCCUGCCUCGCCGGCCUGUCUGUCUCCAGCUCUUCACUGUAAAAUAAAUGCAAGAAGCACACGCCAGAUAGAAAAAAAGGGAGGGCCAAAUAAAGCCCCACGCCGCCCAGCACGGGCUCCCUCCGUGGGUCUGGGCCAGGGCCUCGGCCUGGGUUACUUGCUGCUCCUUUUCCCGGGAAACCACUGGUGCCAAAUUUGCAUUUACCACAAACAGAGACAACACAAUGUCAUAAUCCUUCUCCUGUCAUUCUCCGCUCUCUUCCUCCUCCCACCUCAGACACACACACGCUAACACAAAAUGACGGCUCCCUCGACAGCCUGAAUGAGCAAAGCCCUCGAUCUGCCUCUUCAUUGUUGGCGUUUCUCUCGGCCCUCGCUCCGUGCCCAUCGCCCAACUCGCAGCAGACCACCCACUGCCCCUCCUUUGUCCCGCAUCACCACUGACAAAUGGCCUGCUGGAGGUGGAAGAACAUGCCUGGAAAUAGUGGAGGGGGGGAGAGGGAGCAGCCAGCCCCAACCCCCCGCCGCUCUGCACCCUCACACCCGGGCUGGCUGCGCACGGCGGCUGGAUCUGGACCGGAGGGGACGGGGGCGCGG